rnacentral:rRNA from 1 species
UGCUUAACACAUGCAAGUCGAACGGGGUAAUGAGGAGUAGCGAUACGAAUCAUUAUUUAGUGGCGCACGGGUGAGUAACACGUAGUUAACCUAUCUUUCAGUGGGGGACAACAGAGGGAAACUUCUGCUAAUACCGCAUAAGACCACGGGCUGGAAUGUUUGUGGGAAAAGGAUUUAUUCGCUGGGAGCUGGGACUGCGGCCUAUCAGGUAGUUGGUGAGGUAAUGGCUCCACCAAGCCUGCGACGGGUAGCCGGACUGAGAGGUCGAUCGGCCACACUGGAACUGAGACACGGUCCAGACUCCUACGGGAGGCAGCAGUGGGGAAUAUUGCACAAUGGGGGGAACCCUGAUGCAGCGACGCCGCGUGGAGGUGAAGGCCUUCGGGUUGUAAACUCC